rfam:Pan troglodytes isolate Yerkes chimp pedigree #C0471 (Clint) chromosome 2B, whole genome shotgun sequence.
CCUUCAAUAGUUCAGCUGGUAGAGCAGAGGACUAUAGCUACUUCCUCAGUAGGAUACGUCCUUAGGUCGCUGGUUCGAUUCCAGCUUGAAGGA